CCCCCUUUCUCAUCGCCCCUUGUGGAUAGAAUAGAUAAGGAAGGUUUUGAAUUUGAUUUGAAACAUAAUUCUUUAUCUAGAUGAGAUUUGAUCUCAUCCUAAGUCUCUUGACGCCAAACCAUAAAAGGUAGUCUUUUUGUGCGACAAGAAACAUGAAAUCAUUGUGAGAAAUCUGAAAUCACCAUGAGAAACAUCUGUGGGGGUG
rnacentral:lncRNA from 1 species